rnacentral:rRNA from 1 species
UACGGAGGGGGCUAGCGUUGUUCGGAAUUACUGGGCGUAAAGCGCACGUAGGCGGCUUUGUAAGUUAGAGGUGAAAGCCCGGGGCUUAACCCUGGAAUUGCCUUUAAGACUGCAUCGCUAGAAUUGUGGAGAGGUAAGUGGAAUUCCGAGUGUAGAGGUGAAAUUCGUAGAUAUUCGGAAGAACACCAGUGGCGAAGGCGACUUACUGGACACAUAUUGACGCUGAGGUGCGAAAGCGUGGGGAGCAAACAGG